ACAGAGAAGAACAGGUGAGCGGAAAUCCAUUGCUGAUAUCAGGCUUGCAGAAAACUUUACACGCUGUUUGUCAUCUCCUGGCGUGGCGACUGGAAUAUCAGGUCUUGCUGAUUGAUCCUCCCGAAGUCAGCUGAAACCUAUAGCCAGCCGUCGGCGUGGGGCCAAGUGCCAAGUGGAAGAAGCACGGUGGUGCUGGUGCGGGCAGGCAGGCAAAACGGAGAAAGGCGUGUCCAGUGUCCUUGCGUGCAUGCCACGGUGCGGUUCCGGAGGCGCCACCGCACCUGCCUGUCGUUCCCUCGAGUCGCAAGCCAUUUUUGGUGCACCGUCCUCUCAUCAAGGAGCAGACGUACACGGAUGGUACGCAUAGGCAGAGAGUUUCCUUUCAUGGAUUUAUCACUGCCGCGCGCACCGGCAGGUCACGAGGAGCUCGCUGCUAGCCGCCCAUUUUCAUGAACCGAGAGAGAUCGGCUGCUACUGCCAGUUCUGGGCCUGCUGGCUGGAACGUUGACUGUUGGCUCGAUCACUUCGAUAUCUUUUUCACGGGUUGGAAGCCGUGCCCCUCUCACCCAACGGCGGGUGAUCGCCCACGUCUGCGGGGAGUAGGGACCCUGUCUGAUUGCCCGGUCAGCAGUCAGCACACGUGGAUGCUUGAUCCCAAAGGCGACGGCGACUGACGAUGACGCCGGCAGAUGGGAUCUCUACUCCUGGCCUGAGAAUCGCCAGGAAUCUCAAUCACUUGGUAACAAGAUUCCCCUCCCACUGAUGGCGCUCAAGAUCCAACAGAGCAGCGUCUCCCUCUUCUAUAAUCGCAGUUGUUGUACCAACCCCAUGAUAGAGCGGAGGCACCUAAACAUUGGCAACUUAGUACACUGGCUCUAACGUUUCCAUUUUA